rnacentral:lncRNA from 12 species
GCCCAGGUGUGACCCGUGGGCUUCAGGUGUGCCCAGGUGUUCUGGGUGGAUCCAGGUGUGCCCAGGUGUGCCAGCUGUGCCCCUUGUGUGCCCUGGUGUGCGAAGGGUCUCUAGGUGUGCAGAGUGGGGCCAGAUGUUCAGGGUGAAUCCAGGUGUGCCGGGUGGGCCCCAGCGGUGCCCAGGUGUGCAGGGGAUUCCAGGUGUUCAGGGCGUGCCCAGGUGCGCAGUGACCCCAGAUGUUCAGGAGGUGCCCACCUGUGCCGAGGUGAACUCAGGUGUGCAGAGGGUGCUCGGCUGUGGUCAGGGGUGCCCAGGUUUUCAGUUGUGUUCAGGUGUGCCCAGGUGAACUCAGGUGUGCAGAGGGUGCCCAGCCGUCCUCAGGGGGUUCCCAGCUGUGCUCAGGGGGUUCCCAGCUGUGCCCAGCUGUGCUCAGGGGGUGCCCAGCUGUGCUCAGGGGGUGCCCAGCCGUGCCCAGCCGUGCUCAGGGGGUGCCCAGCUGUGCCCAGCCGUGCUCAGGGGGUUCCCAGCUGUGCUCAGGGGGUGCCCAGCCGUGCCCAGCCGUGCUCAGGGGGUGCCCAGCUGUGCCCAGCCGUGCUCAGGGGGUUCCCAGCUGUGCUCAGGGGGUGCCCAGCCGUGCCCAGCCGUGCUCAGGGGGUGCCCAGCUGUGCCCAGCCGUGCUCAGGGGGUUCCCAGCUGUGCUCAGGGGGUGCCCAGCCGUGCCCAGCCGUGCUCAGGGGGUGCCCAGCUGUGCCCAGCCGUGCUCAGGGGGUUCCCAGCUGUGCUCAGGGGGUGCCCAGCCGUGCCCAGCCGUGCUCAGGGGGUGCCCAGCUGUGCCCAGCCGUGCUCAGGGGGUUCCCAGCUGUGCUCAGGGGGUGCCCAGCCGUGCCCAGCCGUGCUCAGGGGGUGCCCAGCUGUGCCCAGCCGUGCUCAGGGGGUUCCCAGCUGUGCUCAGGGGGUGCCCAGCCGUGCCCAGCCGUGCUCAGGGGGUGCCCAGCUGUGCCCAGCCGUGCUCAGGGGGUUCCCAGCUGUGCUCAGGGGGUGCCCAGCCGUGCCCAGCCGUGCUCAGGGGGUGCCCAGCUGUGCCCAGCCGUGCUCAGGGGGUUCCCAGCUGUGCUCAGGGGGUGCCCAGCCGUGCCCAGCCGUGCUCAGGGGGUGCCCAGCUGUGCCCAGCCGUGCUCAGGGGGUUCCCAGCUGUGCUCAGGGGGUGCCCAGCCGUGCCCAGCCGUGCUCAGGGGGUGCCCAGCUGUGCCCAGCCGUGCUCAGGGGGUUCCCAGCUGUGCUCAGGGGGUGCCCAGCCGUGCCCAGCCGUGCUCAGGGGGUGCCCAGCUGUGCCCAGCCGUGCUCAGGGGGUUCCCAGCUGUGCUCAGGGGGUGCCCAGCCGUGCCCAGCCGUGCUCAGGGGGUGCCCAGCUGUGCCCAGCCGUGCUCAGGGGGUUCCCAGCUGUGCUCAGGGGGUGCCCAGCCGUGCCCAGCCGUGCUCAGGGGGUGCCCAGCUGUGCCCAGCCGUGCUCAGGGGGUUCCCAGCUGUGCUCAGGGGGUGCCCAGCCGUGCCCAGCCGUGCUCAGGGGGUGCCCAGCUGUGCCCAGCCGUGCUCAGGGGGUUCCCAGCUGUGCUCAGGGGGUGCCCAGCCGUGCCCAGCCGUGCUCAGGGGGUGCCCAGCUGUGCCCAGCCGUGCUCAGGGGGUUCCCAGCUGUGCUCAGGGGGUGCCCAGCCGUGCCCAGCCGUGCUCAGGGGGUGCCCAGCUGUGCCCAGCCGUGCUCAGGGGGUUCCCAGCUGUGCUCAGGGGGUGCCCAGCCGUGCCCAGCCGUGCUCAGGGGGUGCCCAGCUGUGCCCAGCCGUGCCCGUGCCCGCAGGGCUCGGCCAUGGACCGGAUGAAGAAGAUCAAGCGCCAGCUCUCCAUGACGCUGCGGGGCGGCCGCGCCCCCGACAAGGGCCUGGGCGACCCCCGCGACGGCCCCGGCAGCGACAGCGGAUGUCUGUCCCUCUAAGGGGAUGCCUGUCACUUUAAGAAGUCAGGGGCACAGUUUUGGAGUGCCUGUCCCUUUAAGAAUGUGCCUGUUCCUUUAAGAGGUUACUUGUCCCUUCUAUAGGGUGUAUGUCCCUUUAAGGGGUUACCUGUCCCCUUUAUAGGGUGCCUCUCCCUUUAAGAGAGGAGCUUUAAGAGGCUCCCUGUCCCUUUAAAGGGGUGCCUGUCCCUUUAAGACGGUCCCUGUC